rnacentral:rRNA from 1 species
GAUGAGCGCUGGCGGCGUGCCUAAUACAUGCAAGUCGAGCGAACAGAUAAGGAGCUUGCUCCUUUGACGUUAGCGGCGGACGGGUGAGUAACACGUGGGUAACCUACCUAUAAGACUGGGAUAACUUCGGGAAACCGGAGCUAAUACCGGAUAAUAUUUCGAACCGCAUGGUUCGAUAGUGAAAGAUGGUUUUGCUAUCACUUAUAGAUGGACCCGCGCCGUAUUAGCUAGUUGGUAAGGUAACGGCUUACCAAGGCGACGAUACGUAGCCGACCUGAGAGGGUGAUCGGCCACACUGGAACUGAGACACGGUCCAGACUCCUACGGGAGGCAGCAGUAGGGAAUCUUCCGCAAUGGGCGAAAGCCUGACGGAGCAACGCCGCGUGAGUGAUGAAGGUCUUCGGAUCGUAAAACUCUGUUAUUAGGGAAGAACAUACGUGUAAGUAACUGUGCACGUCUUGACGGUACCUAAUCAGAAAGCCACGGCUAACUACGUG